UUCAAAAUUAACGGAGAGGAAAUUAGGAAAAAGCAAAAGAAAAGUCUUAUCUAUCUCUUUCUCUCUCUAACUCUCUGUUUCAGUUUGCGUCUGCAAACAACCUCGCUCGGCAAAAAAAUAAAGGGAAAAAAUUGCGAAAAAAAGUGAAGGAUAUAGCAUAUAGGGAGGCGUUCAUCUGGGAGAGAUCUCUGAUUGUGGAGACUUUGUCCAUUUGGAAAAUAAAAAUGGAGACUGAGAUGGGUAGUUAGAGAUUGCUUUUGGAGAAACAGAAAAACGAAAGCAAUGGAUGCAUCUGUCGGUGGCCUGUUUUGGGUUAGGCGUCGAAAUGGGUCUUGGUGGCCUGGCCGGAUAAUGGGUCUCGAUGAAUUGCCAGAAAGUUGCUUGGUUUCGCCGAGAUCGGGGACUCCUGUGAAGCUCCUGGGAAGAGAGGACGCUAGCGUGUGAGUGGUUUUAGUUUUUUAGAUUGCAUGUCUUAUUUGCUUCUGUUUAAGCUCAUGGGAGAGGGAGAAAAGAUAAAGCUUUUCAUCCCAGUUUGGAUUUUUAUUUGAGCCUUUUCAUUCUCAAUCUUAUUCCGAAUAAACUGUGUAACAGCUUCGCUAAUCUCUAUUUUGCUUUUUUCCUUCACCCCCUUCCCUGAUUGAACAGUAUGUUUUAAGCUUGGUGUUAUUAUACAUAUGUCAUCCUUCCCCCUUAUUCCAUUAUUAUUCAAUUUUGGUGAAUAGAUCUACUGUCUUUUCCAAACUACUGCCGUUGUUAAGUUCCUUUUGGAUCUGUGUCAAAUAAAUCUAUUAUGUUAUGGGUUUUUUUUUUUGGUUAUUGCUUUGCCCUCUUGAUUGAUUUGUUUGUUUCAGCACUGAGGAAAUUGUAUUCUAAAGCAAAAUAUAUUUCUUUAACAUGUUAAUGUGGCAAACUGUAGAGUCUGCAUCAUCCCUGGUACCACAGCUUUCACUGUGAAAUUCAUUUUCCUGUUUGAUUCUGCAAACUGAUUGGAAUCUUCAUAUCCACAUGAAGAUCAAGUGUGUUUGGUGUCGUACGAAGGAGUUGGCUCUUGUUCAAAAACUUUUAAAUGGUAUGGAAGGUGGUUGGUGUUGCCAACAUCAUUAAACUAAUGUAAGGUUGAAUCACAUGACCUAACCCCAGCCAGGAUCUUAAACACGAACAAUAAAUUUCAGAUCCAUGUAACAAAUCACAGUAACCAAUCAUAACUGAAUAUGAUAUGGCAGAAAAUAGGUUAAAAUCUCUGAAUUUCAUUUUAAACUUUAAGGUUCUUUGAUGGCUUAGAUCUUUCAAUCUAGUAGCCUUCAUUAGGUGUUGAGUUGGUUGCGAAAAGUUGAUAUUUGCUGGACAAUUGUAGAAUUGGUCCCCAAAAGGUGAUAUUCAAUUGCUGGACAGAAUAGGAGAUCGAUCACUUUGUUCAGCAGCAGAUUUACUCCUUUGAGUAAUCUUCAGGUCACCAACAGAUUUCCUGUUACAUGUUUAUUAUGAUAAAUGGGGUCAUCAUGUAAUAGGAGACGUCGUGGAGUCAUGGGUUCGGUUAAUGGGAAUUACAAAUGAUCAGGAGUUGCAUGGGUAGUGGAUGGGUAGUUCUUUUAUUUGAAAGUUGAUUAGUUAUUAUAACCAUAUAUAAUGCUUUAAAUUGGUGGCAGCCUAAUGGAAUGGAUAGACUCAAAUGACAAAAGGUUCCCUACAAUUUCGCUUUGGAGAAGGAGGUCAUGGUUCCUCAAUAGAACCAAAUAUGUAAUAGCUUCAUCCAUAAAGCUAUUUAUCCUUUUUCCUUCUUUUAUUUCCCUAUUUAUCUCUCUUCCCAUUUAAAGUGUGUACCCAGUGCACGAGGCUCCCGCAUGUGCAAGGUCCAGGAACCUUUUGUCAACCCAUCUAGCCUUCUAUUUUCUUUCUCACUUACUCACCUUAUCAAGAUAGUAAGAGGGAAUUCUCCCUUGCAUGCAUCAUUUGAUAUCAGAGCCUGGCUUUGAUACUGUUGCAUUCACCCCACGGUGCAAGGUGAAGUUCAAGAGAAAGAUGGCAAUUUUUAGUAAACAACUCUGUGCUAGUUCUUCAGGCAAUCAGAUUUGAUAGUAUAUGUAAACAACUCCGUGCUAGUUGAAGACAAUGUUUUUUGGUUUAUAGACUUGAGAUGUUGGUUGGUUGAGAUACUUUGAUACUUUUUUUAAUUCUGAAAUGGUCCUCUAAUAAUUGUUAACAUAUUUUGAUUUUGUUUGAUCAUAUAUGGGAUCUAUGCUUUCCCCAUAUCUGAUCUGUGAUGGUGUUAGAAUGAUAACUAUUGAACCUUCUGUUGCAGCACCAUGUACUGACGAUCAACUUUUUAUUUUCUGAAUUUCUUUUCCUUUUGACUAUGUCUUAUGUUAUUGUGAUUUUAUAAUUUGGGACCAAUCUAAUUAUAUGCUUUAUAAUGUUAGAGAUCAGAUUUGGAACUCUAUUUGUUUAGUGAUGGAGAAGUUUGAUGUUGAUAUUUGGGAUUGAUUGAAUUAAAUGAUUAUUGUAGUUUUAUAUGUUUUGGAAGUCAUAUAUCAAGAAAUUGGUGAUUAUAUGGAUUGAUGCUAAUCCUUUUUGGUUUUGUGAUGUAAUAAAGCAAGGAGACUUUACAACCAUUUUAUUCCUUAUUGCUAUUUUACAUGCUUCUUCUCUCAUUUGAUCCUAAGGACUUAUAUUACUUGUAUAAGUCAUUGGAGACUAUUGUUUCUACCCACUUUGAAGCAGAUCCAUCUCCAUAAUCCAAACCAUGCUCUGGUUUGGGCAAUUUUCAGAUCUGAAGCAUAUGAAAUUACUACUGAUCUGACCAACAGAUCAUGAUUCUGUUUAGUUAUGACUUUAUUUCUCAUCUAUGGAGGGCUGCUCUACUGAAGUUUGAAGGCCAUCAGUACUAGAGAUGUCCAUCAGUUAAACUUCUUCUUAUACAGCCUGCGGUAAUUCAGUAUUGACCCCCUUUUCUCUAUUAAGUUGAUUUCAGAUAUGAUUGGUGAUAUAAGUCAGUAUUAUAGUAUUAUUGGGGAUUCUUUGCUUUAAAUUUGGGAGUUAACUAACUCCAGUAAUUGCUGGUUUUAGUGUUCUAUCAAUUUCUCAGGCCACGUUUAUUCUAUUUUGCUAUCGGGUACUGCUAUUUGGUGCUCAAUGGAAUGGUCUAACAUUUUUAGUCCUCCAGAGUUAGUAAUUUUGUCAAAUGAAUACAGGCAACCGUUGUUUGCAGCCACUAGUGGAGACACUUUAAUUGCCUAAGAAAAGGUGAACCUGAGCCCUGAUUAGGAAGAUAAAAUACCCAUUUGCAGUAGAACUUCGAGCAGCCCAUAUGAAGACUUCUAAUUAAACGUGUAAUUUUUUAUUUUUUUGUUUAAUUCAUGAAAUGUGGGGUAGUACUUAGUAGGGUAUGGUAUAUUAUAAGUUUAGGGCCUUGAGGUUUCGGAUAUUAAUUUAUCAUGUUAUUCAAUGGCUUUAUCAACCUUGAUCGAUUGUUAAUUUCUAAUGUUAGAAAAUAUUCACUUGUUAGCAGACUUCAUAAA